AGUAAAUAAAGCAUGAAAAAGUCAAUUACAGUUAUAGAAAAUGUACUAGAUUAUGCAAAGAUUACAAAAAUGUACUAGAUUACUAAUGUACUAGAUUAUGCAAAGAAAAAGUUGGUAAUGGAAAUUAGGAAGUAGAAGCAGCAGAGGGAACAGUGGUAGAAUGAGGGGUUAAAUUGCUUAUGUCCUUAUUUCUAGCAGAGUCAAGAGAUAGUAUUUGAAAUGGCACAAAGAAAGGCUUGUUAUUUUUUAAUUAUAAAAGGCAAGAGUGAAAUAAUUUUUUAAACUGUGAUAAAAUACACAUAUCAUAAAAUUUACAGUUUUAAAGAGUUAAUUUGGUGGAGUUAAGUAUGGUCACAAUGUUUUACAACUGUUAACUGCCAUCUAGAUUCAGAACCUUUUCAUCAUGCCAGAAGAAAACUCUGUACACAUUAAGCAGUCACUCCCCAGUUUUCCUCUUCCCCUAGUCCCUGGUAACCACUCACUAAUCUGCUAUCUCUAUGGAUUUGCCUAUUCUAGAUAUUUCAUAUAAAUGAAAUGAUAUAAUAUGGGACCUUUUGUAUCUGUCUUUUUUCACUUAGCAUAAUGUUUUCAAGGUUUAUUCGUGUUGUAGCAUGUGUUAGUACUUCAUUCCUUUUUGUGGCUGAAGUAAUACUCCAUUGCAUGGAUGUCACAAUUUUACAUUUAUCAGUUGAUGAAUAUUUGGCCUGUUUCCAUGUUUUGGCUAUCGUGAAUAGUGUUGCCGUGAACAUUCAUGUAUGAGUUUUUGUUUGAACAUUUGUAGUUAUCUGUAUUUUAUAGAUGAGGACAGUAAACUACAGAGCUAGAUUAGUAAGUAGCCCAGGAUCACACAAGUAAGAGAUGGUGAAGCCAGGGAUACAAAUCCAGGCAAUUUGAUGUCAGAACCUACAUUUUUUAACCACUGUGCUUAACCUGGCAGCUACUAGGUAAUCCAGUAAAUGUUAACUUUCUCUUCCUUUUGAGUUUAUUUUUUAGGUAUUGACUAUAUUAAUUUUGCAUUUUAUUAAGCUUUAAGUAACAUCCAAUUUAAAUUUUGCUGUGAGUGCUGUUUAACCUACAUUUUAAUACUUUGUAUAUAUUGGUUAUAGUUUGGCUGUAGCAGCAAUUCCUGAAGGUCUCCCCAUUGUGGUCACAGUGACACUAGCUCUUGGUGUUAUGAGAAUGGUGAAGAAAAGGGCCAUUGUGAAAAAACUGCCUAUUGUUGAAACUCUGGGCUGCUGUAAUGUGAUUUGUUCAGAUAAAACUGGAACACUGACGAAGAAUGAAAUGACUGUUACUCACAUAUUUACUUCAGAUGGUCUGCAUGCUGAGGUUACUGGAGUUGGCUAUAAUCAAUUUGGGGAAGUGAUUGUUGAUGGUGAUGUUGUUCAUGGAUUCUAUAACCCAGCUGUUAGCAGAAUUGUUGAGGCGGGCUGUGUGUGCAAUGAUGCUGUAAUUAGAAACAAUACUCUAAUGGGGAAGCCAACAGAAGGGGCCUUAAUUGCUCUUGCAAUGAAGAUGGGUCUUGAUGGACUUCAACAAGACUACAUCAGAAAAGCUGAAUACCCUUUUAGCUCUGAGCAAAAGUGGAUGGCUGUUAAGUGUGUACACCGAACACAGCAGGACAGACCAGAGAUUUGUUUUAUGAAAGGUGCUUACGAACAAGUAAUUAAGUACUGUACUACAUACCAGAGCAAAGGGCAGACCUUGACACUUACUCAGCAGCAGAGAGAUGUGUACCAACAAGAGAAGGCACGCAUGGGCUCAGCGGGACUCAGAGUUCUUGCUUUGGCUUCUGGUCCUGAACUGGGACAGCUGACAUUUCUUGGCUUGGUGGGAAUCAUUGAUCCACCUAGAACUGGUGUGAAAGAAGCUGUUACAACACUCAUUGCCUCAGGAGUAUCAAUAAAAAUGAUUACUGGAGAUUCACAGGAGACUGCAAUUGCAAUCGCCAGUCGUCUGGGAUUGUAUUCCAAAACUUCCCAGUCAGUCUCAGGAGAAGAAAUAGAUGCAAUGGAUGUCCAGCAGCUUUCACAAAUAGUACCAAAGGUUGCAGUAUUUUACAGAGCUAGCCCAAGGCACAAGAUGAAAAUUAUUAAGUCGCUACAGAAGAACGGUUCAGUUGUAGCCAUGACAGGAGAUGGAGUAAAUGAUGCAGUUGCUCUGAAGGCUGCAGACAUUGGAGUUGCGAUGGGCCAGACUGGUACAGAUGUUUGCAAAGAGGCAGCAGACAUGAUCCUAGUGGAUGAUGAUUUUCAAACCAUAAUGUCUGCAAUUGAAGAGGGUAAAGGGAUUUAUAAUAACAUUAAAAAUUUCGUUAGAUUCCAGCUGAGCACGAGUAUAGCAGCAUUAACUUUAAUCUCAUUGGCUACAUUAAUGAACUUUCCUAAUCCUCUCAAUGCCAUGCAGAUUUUGUGGAUCAAUAUUAUUAUGGAUGGACCCCCAGCUCAGAGCCUUGGAGUAGAACCAGUGGAUAAAGAUGUCAUUCGUAAACCUCCUCGCAACUGGAAAGACAGCAUUUUGACUAAAAACUUGAUACUUAAAAUACUUGUUUCAUCAAUAAUCAUUGUUUGUGGGACUUUGUUUGUCUUCUGGCGUGAGCUACGAGACAAUGUGAUUACACCUCGAGACACAACAAUGACCUUCACAUGCUUUGUGUUUUUUGACAUGUUCAAUGCACUAAGUUCCAGAUCCCAGACCAAGUCUGUGUUUGAGAUUGGACUCUGCAGUAAUAAAAUGUUUUGCUAUGCAGUUCUUGGAUCCAUCAUGGGACAAUUACUGGUUAUUUACUUUCCUCCACUUCAGAAGGUUUUUCAGACUGAGAGCCUAAGCAUACUGGAUCUGUUGUUUCUUUUGGGUCUCACCUCAUCAGUGUGCAUAGUGGCAGAAAUUAUAAAGAAGGUUGAAAGGAGCAGGGAAAAGAUCCAGAAGCAUGUUAGUUCGACAUCAUCAUCUUUUCUUGAAGUAUGAUGCAUAUUGCAUUAUUUUAUUUGCAAACUAGGAAUUGCAGUCUGAGGAUCAUUUAGAAGGGCAAGUUCAAGAGGAUAUGAAGAUUUGAGAACUUUUUAACUAUUCAUUGACUAAAAAUGAACAUUAAUGUUAAAGACUUAAGACUUUAACCUGCUGGCAGUCCCAAAUGAAAUUAUGCAACUUUGAUAUCAUAUUCCUUGAUUUAAAUUGGCUUUUGUGAUUGAGUGAAACUUUAUAAAGCAUAUGGUCAGUUAUUUAAUUAAAAAGGCAAAACCUGAACCACCUUCUGCACUUAAAGAAGUCUAACAGUACAAAUACACUAUCUAUCUUAGAUAGAUAUAUUUUUUUUUAUUUUUAAAUAUUGUACUAUUUAUGGUGGUGGGGCUUUCUUACUAAUACACAAAUAAAUUUAAUCAUUUCAAAGGCAUUCUAUUUGGUUUAGAAGUUGAUUCCCAGGAGUGCCAUAUUUCAGCUACUGUAUUUCCUUUUUCCUGUAAUGUAAGCAGCUCAGAUACCAUGUGCUACCAUUUUUGUACCAAGUUUUUUGCACAGGAUGUGACCACUGUCAGAUCACUGUUCUUUUCUUUCUUUUUGUGAUUGAAAAGCCUAUACUACAAUUUGAAGUAAAUUUUUGUUUUUCUUAGUAAGUGUAAAUGGUUGCUUUAUUUUUAUUUUGAAAAGGUAUGUCUUUUGUUUGGCAGAAUUAAUGCAGGGCUAUCAAGUGGUAUUCUAGGGUAACAGUGUCCAUAAUUAACACUUAGUCAUAGAGUCAAAAACAUUUAAGACUGAUUGGGUUGAAGUUUAUAAUAAAUUAUAUUAACGUGUCUUCCUUUUUGAGUUAAAGAUAACUAUAUGCUUUGUCAAAUAUCAUUUUUUCAUCCUCUAAAUAUAAAUCCAAAUACCUCAGCUAAGUAAUUCUAUUUUAUUAUUUUUACUGUUAUGUAUGUUUUUAAUCAUAUUUCUUAGGAAGUAUAGGCUGCUGGACUUAGAAUAAAAAGUCCCCAAACCCAAACAAAUGGUUUAUGAACCAGAGUAUAUGUGGAAGAUUCUUUGCUGGCCUUGCUCUGUGUGCAUCUGAAGCUUCUUUGGCCUAGAUUUUAGCACAAACCUGAGUAUAUCUCUUCUACUUUCAUCAUGUGUUCUGUGCCUUCUUUUUGUUUCAUUGGGCAUGCUAGGGAAAUAGGUGGAUUUUGUGUGUAAUGCCAUCAGUUUUCAUAAAAGCUUGAUGAGGUAUAGGUCAUUUGUUUUGAGUAUGUGGGCCAGAAAUUUAAAAUUAGCAAUUUGUUUUUCUGUUGAAUAUUUCUAUCUAUAAACAAAAAUUGGUCCCAAUUCUUACAGGUUUAAUCCUUCUUGAAGCUAAUAAGUUUUGUCUUUUAUAAUCUGUCAGGAUGAACCACUCCUUAGCUUUUAUCCAAUAUUAAACUGCAAGUGUUAGCACUGAAAUAUUGUCAUUGAUAGGGAAAAUAUCUAUUCUUUGAGUCCUUGUUACUGAGGCAGUUGAGUGUAAGGAGCUGGCUGCAGUUUAUUCUACUUAACCCUUUAAGGCUGAAUUGUCAAAUGUACAUUGUUCCAUGUCAUUAGAUGGAACAUGGAAGCCAUUGUCUAAUCAACUCUAUCAUUAGUGACUUGAUGUCUCAUACCUUAAUUUUGUAAUGAUUUUUAUUCUCUGUUACAAAUACUUGAAAUACGUAUUAAAUGCACGUUAAUCUUUUGCUUUGCAUUUUAGGUUCAGAUUAUGACUUGAUUGAAAUAAAUGUGCCUAUACAUUCAUUUGCUUUGUACUAUAAAAAUAAAAAUGAUUUCUUAAGUUAA
rnacentral:sRNA from 1 species